rnacentral:lncRNA from 10 species
AGUCAGAGUACCCUGGAGGGAUAAUGCUCUGCAGAUUUCUCACUUCCUCACAGGACGUGUGGGAUCAUCUCCCAGAUGAACUACCAGUUCCUAAGUAUUUGUCUGAAGGUACGCUCUUUUGAAAAUCAAAACUAAGACCAGUUUGGACCCAGGACAUAACAGAGACCAUGGUCUGGCUUUAAACGGGCCGCUUUAAAUGAUUGUAUAUCUAGAAAACCCC